ACUGUAAAAAAUUACCGUAAAUUUACGGCCUAAUUUUACGGUACUGAACUGUUUUAUAAAAUUACAGUGUCUUGCCGUAAAUGGUUGCAUGAGCAGUGGGCGUGGGGGGAGGAACUGCACUGAAAUUACUGAGUGGUAUGUGUUGGCCACUUAUUAAUAUGCAUUUUCUGUCUGGACUUGUAUUAUAAAGACUGAAUACUUUUGAAACGUCAUCAGUAGAUGGCCAAGUACUGUUCAAAUUCAAAGUUAACAUCUAGCAAAGAACAGUUAAAAUCUUAGAUGUGUUCCUACAUCACCUUUAACCGAGGACCCUUAACAUGGUUUUACUACAGUAAACGUCUGUUUUGGACUGCAUAACUAUUUUAAUAUAACCAUAAUGUCCAUAAAAGGGUCUGUUCAUUCAAUAAUCCGGGCAAAAUCUGCAUGAACGUAUACGUAGAAAUAAUAUUGAGGACACUGCACAAUAAUGAAACCUUUAGUUAAAGUCGAUUAAUAUUUCUGUUUUUAUUAAAUAAAUAUUCUAUGUUAAAUGGGCUCUAAACAGGCAAUUUCGGUCCCGGACGCAGCACUGGAAGAAGCACUUUACUUUCAUCUUUUAUAGCUUUAUUUACUUUUAUUAUGUUAUUUUUGGCGGAGGCGCGUAAGGCGCGUGUCCGUCCCUCGAAUGCUUUGUGAUCACGUGAUUAUUCAAACGGGAGACGCGCGAUCUGGAUUAACCGCUAUUCUCCUCAGACGAGUGAUGACCUCUGUGGUAUUAUGAGAUCCCUUUCUUGGUGUGUCUUGAUGUUUUAUAUUGGCUAAAGACAAGAUAUGUCUGCAAAUGCCGGUUCCAUGUCACAUGGCUUAUUCGAGACAAGAUCCACAAAAAACUCUGCAGAUUUUGUUACCAUCAACUUGCAUUAUACAACUGACAGACUGAAACGGUUGGACACAAAAAUCUACAUUUGUGUUCCACUGGAGAAACAAAGUCACCUACAUCUUGGAUGGCCUGGGGACUACCUGACCUGUUCCUGUUAAGAGCUAGUCACUCUUUGUGGAAUGUUCCUGGCCCAUUUUUUUCCACGUUUUUACAAAAGUUUUUUCAAUGACCUCAAAAUUGAUGUGUAAAAAUAAUAAUAAACUUGAAUUUGUUUAAA